rnacentral:rRNA from 1 species
UACUGAGGGUGCAAGCGUUAAUCGGAAUUACUGGGCGUAAAGCGCGCGUAGGCGGUUUACUAAGUCAGAUGUGAAAGCCCUGGGCUUAACCUGGGAACUGCAUUUGAUACUGGUAGACUAGAGUUUGGUAGAGGGUGACGGAAUUCCAGGUGUAGCGGUGAAAUGCGUAGAUAUCUGGAGGAACAUCAGUGGCGAAGGCGGUUGCCUGGACCAAAACUGACGCUGAGGUGCGAAAGCGUGGGGAGCAAACAGG